rnacentral:ncRNA from 1 species
CUUAUUAAGAGAGGUGGAGGGACAGGCCCUGUGAAACCCAGCAACCAUUCCGAAUGGAAAAGGUGCUAAUUCCUACAAGAUAUUUAUAUCUUGAAAGAUGAGG